AAUUAUACUAUAUACUAAAGCCCGGUUACUGUUACUACUGUUCAUAAGAGACCGAAAAGACGGUUCUGCCCUCAUUUGGAUUUUUUUUACGCCUCUGCCACUGACCUUCUCUCUUCCUCCAGACGCCUCUAAGACCGACUGUUUUUGCUCUCUCUUUUCUUCCUCCUGCUUUCUAAACAGCCUCCUUCACUCCCUCAGACGACUACAGCGUGCCGUGCUUGGAUGGUUCAUGUAUAAUUACACCGACAUCGACUCUUCCAGACUCUCAAAGUCAGCUACUUCGGAAAUCAGAUCCCACCAUCGAGUCUACUAUAUGGGUCAGCUACUUGCGAAAUCAAAUCGAGACUGCAGAUUUGGGCAAAUCUGGGAGUCUUAAUCAGUUGUUUGCGAAUCUUGGAGCAGAACACUGCAGUAGUGUCUACAACAUUUGAAUGGGUAGGAUAACUUUGAGAAAGUUCAAAGCCUAUUGAAAAGUUCUUUUUGUAAAACUGGGACCAGAGUAACCAUAUACAACACUGGAUGUUGCUGACAUAUAAACGUAAGAUUUAUGGAAAAGUUUGAGUAUUGUGUCGCAAAGCGUUGUUAACUUUUAGACUAUGGAUUUGGGCAAAUCUGGGCGUGUUAGUCAAUUUGUGUUUGCAAAUCUUGGACCACCACAGUGUAAUACCGUCUACAGCAAUCAAACAAGAAGAGGCGUGUGGUUCUUCUUCCGGAAACUCCAAGCUACUUCCAAAGAAUCAGCUUCUUUUUGAGUUGGAGCUUGAAGGCUGCAUAUAUUCGAGAAGUUGGAAUGACGUUCGGAGACUCAAGGAUUCUGCUCUGAGGGGUGUUGGAAAAGCCAGAUAAGACAUCAGCAACGUUCCUGUCAUUUAUAGAAAAUUUUGGCAAGAGGGUGGAGUUGGAUAGCACCAUUAAAUAUGAUGAUGCUUAAGUACCAUGCAGCUCUCUCUAUGAUAGCUUCUAAAACAUCCUAUGAGAAUAAUGCCAAUGCCUACAUUAACACUACUGUUAGGGAUCAUUGGAAGACUGAAAAAAAAAAAAACCCACUACACAAGCCUUUAUGCUUCAGAAUAAGUGUUCUGACCAUGACACCGUUGUUGUGGCCUUUAAGGGAACCGAACCGCUUGAUGCAGAUGCUAUGCUCCGACUUUGUAUCUCUUGGUAUGAGCUUUCAGGGUGGAAGCGUCACAAGAUUGACGAAGACUGAGGCUUUGCUGCACAAGUUGUUCAUUGACACAAGACCAGCAAAACCAACAAAGGAAGAAAAGAAUUCAACCUUCAAACUUUCAAUCAUGUUUCCCUUUGUGAGUUUCCUCUCUAAACUAUUCUGUUUCUAUGACUAAUAAAAAUUAACCUCUUAUAUAAUAAUGCCAUUAUUACUAAUUCCUGAAAUAUUUUGCGGGAUUGCGCACACAACUCCAUUCACUGCAAACAAAAAAGUAUCUCAUGCUUGAUCUUAAUGAAGCUUAGAAAAAGCAUAUAUAGGUGGGAAAGGUCCAAUACUGAUGGUUGGAGAUAGAAUGCUCUUUUGAUCCUCCCAGAUAUUCAUUUCAUAAGGUGUUGGUGUGUCAUGCUUUGCUGAGCAUUUGAUACCUAAUAAGCAACACACCAAACGAACAAUAUGACCAGCCAACAAAUAUCACAGUAAAGAAAAAGAAAAAAAUGAAAACCAAAAGAAGAACACACCCAACCAAUCCUAAACCCUAUACUGUCCCUUCCUUGGUAAGUUUUCUUUGCAAGCUAUUUUACUGCUAUGAUUGAUAAGAAUUUAUUCUACUACUACACGACUUUGUUCAUAUUAAAAAAAAUACCAUCA